AUAGUACACAUAGAUUGUCAGGUAAUACUGAAGUCAAUAAAAGAUAAUCGUUUUAAUUAUAAUAAUAAUUUUAAUUAUAGUAAAUAAUUAUUUAAUGUUCUAAAGAUAGGUGAAGCCAAAUACAAUCAGGCAGCAUAACGUAGACGACAUGUUGUAAUGUGGCAGGACAGAAUGGAGGCAGAACCAGAUACUAUCAACAGGACAGUCAAUUGUCUGCCGUCUAUGCCGGCAUUUCCUCAGGAAACAGGCACAAAGAACAAGGUAUAUGCACACAGUUCGAAACUCAAUCUUGGUGCUAGAAGAGUUUGUAUCAAUGUGGAUCCACCGAGGAGGUCAAACAACAGACGGGGUCAACAUCUCGUGACAAACUUGCUGAGCACUUCCUAGCAUUGUCUGUCCGGUUAUCGGAUCUGCUGGAUGAGAUUGGAGCCGGAAAAUGCACUGUAAUGGAGCGGAGAGACACAUAUUUGCGAAGAGAGCGUAUGUAGAUGAUAGCAUGGCAACUAUUAGGAGUAGAAAUCGCAGAAUCUUUCCAUUUCGGGAGCCAAUCUGAAGGCACCACCACUCCCGGUCUCAAUUCUGAUAUUGAUUACCUACAUAGUAACAAAUGUGUGAACAUCAUGACAGACUGGAACGACUGGGAGUCUGGGAUGGUUAACCUUCUGCUGUUUCGUGACGACACCACUCCACCUCAACAGUACUUGCUACAGGUCAUAAAGAAAUACACACCGGAACCGGUGACCAGUAUUGACGAUGACAGGUGUAUGAGGAAAGAUUCUGGGCAAGUACUAUUCAGCUCAGAAAGAUACAAACAGGAAAUUGAGCGGACGGUAGCGGUAGCACAUGAAGGAGAGGUAACCAAAAAUGGACCUUCUGUGAGUAAUCUUCCCAACUGGGAUAUUGUAUCGGCAUAUCAUGUCUGCAAACCUCUUCCUGAAAUACAGCACUGGAUAGACAGAUGUAGAGGGAGACAUUGGCCGCCUGCCAAAUUACUGGAGGCUUCACGACGAUCUCCGUCUUUCCUGGUACCUGCAGGACACCCAGACAGUGAUUACAAGCGCGAAGAAUGGCGCCUGUCUCCGAAUCUUAUUGAACGAAUGUUGAUGUUUAGUUUGAAUAUGACACAAAUUAAAUGUUACAUUAGUCUAAAAAUAAUUAAAAAUGCCUUACUUAAUAAAAUGGUUGGGGAUUGUACCACAAGUUUUCAUUGUAAACAUUAAUGUUCUACACCAUAGAAAGAGCACAUCCUUCUCUGUGGAAGGAGCAUAAUCUCAUGUUUCUACUUUUACUUUGUUUACAAAUAUUAAGAAAAUGGCUGCGAUUGGGAAGCUUGCCUCAUUACAUCAUAGAAGGAGUAAACUUGUUCGAUGGGAAACUGUCUAUGGGGCAACAGAGACGCCUUUUACAGUACGUGAACUACUUGAUAAAGAGCGACUUGCAAGAUUUAUUUCAUAUAGAUAUAGAUCAAUUAGGAUGUCGGUUACAAGCGUGUGGUAGACGGAGGAUCGGAAAGGCUGUAGAGGGAGAACUGAGAUCUGUACGGUUACGUUACGGUAUAAGUUUGUUUCUGAAGUUCGAGUACUUGGAAAGAUUUAAUACAGAAUUAACAAAGAUAAUAUAUGAGAUACAGACUUCGAAUACAAACUUCCAACAAGGUAUACACAAUGCAUUACGAGCUGUUGUUGAAAACUCAACGUAUGGCAAUUUGACAAUCGUUUCUUUCGACUAUAUAAAUCACCUGUUUGCAUUACACAAUUAAGUGCAAUCAUCAACGUGUUUGCGACUACCAAACCCUGCUUUUAUCAAAAUUAUACGCCGCUUCCAAUAUUCUUUAAAAACGGAUGUCGUUUCAAGCCGUUUAAAGUUGGCUUCUUUGCUAUACUGCUUUGGACAUCUUUACGCAGCAGUAAGAGUGUUGGAGGGUGUAGAGAAGAGGUAUCACAGCAAGGUCAAGUCUGUGUGUGGAGAAAUAUAUAUAAAUGGAGAAAGAGAUCUCCAGGUAUUUGCUAACAUGAUCUCAGAUAACUGUGACAACAUACUCAGUGAACAACCAUUCGCAUUAUGUGUCAGGUUUAUUAGACAAGAAGCGCACUGCGCUCCAUACAUAUUGUGGUUUGAAAUGAAUCGCGGUAUGACUGAAGAGAAAGUUGCACAGAGAAAUAGCACGGAGAAACUAUGGAUGGUCAACGCUGAGGUGGAUGCUCGUCCUUUCCUUCAUUAUCUACAGUAUCUCACAUAUGGAGGACUCGGUGAACGCAACAAACAGCUUCAUGCAUUUGAAAAACUCAGGUCUUCUUGUAUAUUUGACCCAAGAAAUUUAAUCAACAUGCAUCACUUAGAGACGGCGCUUAAUUUGCUUGGUCACUGCUAUGAAAUGGAAGGCGACUAUCAAAGAGCAUUAUAUUACUACGAGAUAUCGUUGCAGUGUGAGAAUACGAACAAUGCCGCUAACUGGCACGUACAGCGUGUGCAGCGUCUUAUAAGUAGUUCAUAAUGAACAUUACAACUUUGAAAUGUGCAAAAUGAUAGCUAGACGUAUGUGUUAACAUAUAAUCUGUUUCAUCAGUUAGUUCUUUGAGUUUAACAUUCAUUGUUUGAAUGUAAAAAUAAGAAGCAUAUUUACCAAUCAAAACGUAUAGACGUUAUACUUUUUUUGUUUGCAUUUCAAUAGGAAAUAUCAAUUGCGAUGUUGAUUAAGCAAAUUCCAAGUAAGUGAAUAUUACGUUUAUUUAGAACGAAAACAUGAACCACGAGCCUUCGUCUGUUCGUUUCGAGCAAUUGUUCUGAUCAGAUCUAAGCAAGUAACUGGUUCUCUAGUCACUACGUCAUUUUCUCAACAUCGUCGGUCUAACUUUCAAAGAAAAUAUUUGAGUUUGUAAAAAAACACGCUAAACAUUAAAGGGGCAGUCAACCAGAUUGACGAAAAAAGAAAAGUUCUAAAAUACCGUCUUUAAGCGCUUUAUAUUGAUAAAUUAAAACAUUGGAUCUAAAAAUCUCGAGUUAAAAAAACAAGAAUAAAAUGCAAAAACGAAAAAAGUAACCCUAAACAGGGCUCGAACCACUGACCCCUGGAGUCCUGGAGUAAAAAGAUUAAAUAAAUAUAUACCAUUUAUACCACUCGGUCAUCCAUGCUAGUACAAUGUGCGUUUUAUUUUAUACUAUAUAUAAGCAAUACUCGUAGUCUCACAAAAUGUGACGACAACAACAGAACUCUCAAAAUUUCUAGAACACCAUCAAUGGGACAUUUUGACGUUUUGGUAAAUUGACAAAAUUGAAAACAAAAGGUUUCAAAUUUUCGUUGCAGUUAUAUUUGCGAGGAAACAGUAAUACUGAACAUUUACCAUACUCUAAAUAAUCAAUGACAUGCAUCUUUUGACGAUUUAAAAACCUGAAAAUUAUAAAGCGUUACAAACGCGAAGCGAUCAAAUAAUUUGGAGAGUCGGGAUCUGUUGUUAUCAUUAUAGUUUGUGACAUUACAAGAAUAGCUGAUAUAAUUUAUAAAAUACGCUAUUCUUAACAUGAGCACGGAUGGCCGAGUGGUUUAAGUAUUAGACGUUUACCCUAAGAGACUGUGGUUCGAACAAAAUGAAGCAUUACUGUUUCUCUUUCUUAACUAUUUUUUGUACUGGAGCUACAUGUACAUGUACAUGUAUAUAGUUCCCAUGUUUACGGUUAUCAAUUUUAAGGGACCCUCCAAAAGAUUGUACGUUUUGGUAAAUUGACAAAAUAAAAAAAAUUGUUUCAGAUUCGCUAAUUUUCGUUUUCGUUAUGACAUUUUUGAGGAAAUACACUUGGAGACACUUCUAACGCAUCACUUAAUCAUAUCAAUAUAGCUCCCUUAUUUUUGAUCGGAUUGUGUUGAAAUUUGGACCAAGAAUAAUUCAACACAUAUCUGAUAACUCCUGAAAAUUUAAUUGAAAUUGAAAAACAACAAUACAUGUAUGUAAAACUUAACAAAUUAAAAGCGUCACUUCAAAAGUCAAAUUCGCAAACUCGUACAACGUUAAAUAAUAACAAUGAGAAAAUAAAACGCAUAAACGUACACGUCUUAAUAACUGACCGGCUUGCAACAUGCCGAUUGAGCCAUUUCGCUCGUGAAUAUUCAUACGAGCCAUAAUGUUUUUCUUAAAGUAAUGUUAUGUUGUUCUUGUGUAAAAACUUACCUAGAAUUAUGAAAUUGAAAUUAAAUUGGAAUAAAAUGUAUAUCGCCUUUUA